GGUGGCGUGUCCGAGCGGCCGAAGGUGCAUCACUCGAAAUGAUGUGAGGUUCAUAGCCUCCGCGGGUUCAAAUCCCGCCGCCACCGCCA
rnacentral:tRNA from 1 species